rfam:Ciona savignyi cont_33960, whole genome shotgun sequence.
GGCAGGAUGGCCGAGUGGUCUAAGGCGCUGCGUUCAGGUCGCAGUCUCCCCUGGAGGCGCGGGUUCGAAUCCCGCUCCUGUCA